CAGCCGCCGCGGGAAUACGAAGGGUGCAAGCGUUACUCGGAAUUACUGGGCGUAAAGCGUGCGUAGGUGGUUGUUUAAGUCUGUUGUGAAAGCCCUGGGCUCAACCUGGGAAUUGCAGUGGAUACUGGGCAACUAGAGUGUGGUAGAGGGUAGUGGAAUUCCCGGUGUAGCAGUGAAAUGCGUAGAGAUCGGGAGGAACAUCCAUGGCGAAGGCAGCUACCUGGACCAACACUGACACUGAGGCACGAAAGCGUGGGGAGCAAACAGGAUUAGAUACCCGAGUAGUCCCUGUCUCUUAUAC
rnacentral:rRNA from 1 species